AACGAACGCUGGCGGCGUGCUUAACACAUGCAAGUCGAGUGCGCGUCUGUAGCAAUACAGAUGGCGCACGGCGCACGGGUGCGUAACACGUGGGUAAUCUGCCCUUCGAUGGGGAAUAACCUCGCGAAAGCGAGGCUAAUUCCGCAUAACAUUCCUAGGACCUCGGUCUCUGGAUUCAAAGCCGUAAGGCGUCGAUGGAGGAACCCGCGCACGAUUAGCUAGUUGGUGAGGUAACGGCUCACCAAGGCUAUGAUCGUUAGCUGGUCUGAG
rnacentral:rRNA from 1 species